rnacentral:rRNA from 1 species
CCUACGGGUGGCAGCAGUGAGGAAUAUUGGUCAAUGGGCGCGAGCCUGAACCAGCCAAGUCGCGUGAGGGAGGACGGCCCUACGGGUUGUAAACCUCUUUUGCCGGGGAGCAACGGGCGUCACGUGUGGCGCCACUGAGAGUACCCGGAGAAAAAGCAUCGGCUAACUCCGUGCCAGCAGCCGCGGUAAUACGGAGGAUGCGAGCGUUAUCCGGAUUUAUUGGGUUUAAAGGGUGCGUAGGCGGAUCGUUAAGUCAGUGGUAAAAUUGAGGGGCUCAACCCCUUCCCGCCAUUGAAACUGUUGAUCUUGAGUACUGGAGAGGCAGACGGAAUUCCUAGUGUAGCGGUGAAAUGCGUAGAUAUUAGGAGGAACACCAGUGGCGAAGGCGGUCUGCUGGACAGAAACUGACGGUGAGGCGCGAAAGCGUGGGGAGCAAACAGGAUUAGAUACCCGAGUAGUC